UACAGGGGGUGCAAACGUUAUCCGGAUUCACUGGGUUUAAAGGGUGCGUAGGUGGGCAGGUAAGUCAGUGGUGAAAUCUCCGGGCUUAACCCGGAAACUGCCAUUGAUACUAUCUGUCUUGAAUACCGUGGAGGUGAGCGGAAUAUGUCAUGUAGCGGUGAAAUGCUUAGAUAUGACAUAGAACACCAAUUGCGAAGGCAGCUCACUACGCGAAUAUUGACACUGAGGCACGAAAGCGUGGGGAUCAAACAGG
rnacentral:rRNA from 1 species